AUUGAACGCUGGCGGCAUGCCUUACACAUGCAAGUCGAACGGCAGCGGGGACUUCGGUCCGCCGGCGAGUGGCGAACGGGUGAGUAAAGCAUCGGAACGUACCCUUCAGUGGGGGAUAACUAUCCGAAAGGAUAGCUAAUACCGCAUAUUCUCUGAGGAGGAAAGCGUGGGACCUUAUGGCCUCGCGCUGAUGGAGCGGCCGGUGUCAGAUUAGCUAGUUGGUGAGGUAAAGGCUCACCAAGGCGACGAUCUGUAGCGGGUCUGAGAGGAUGAUCCGCAACACUGGGACUGAGACACGGCCCAGACUCCUACGGGAGGCAGCAGUGGGGAAUUUUGGACAAUGGGGGCAACCCUGAUCCAGCCAUGCCGCGUGAGUGAAGAAGGCCUUCGGGUUGUAAAGCUCUUUCGGCCGGGAAGAAAUCGCGCAGGCUAAUACUCUGUGUGGAUGACGGUACCGGAAUAAGAAGCACCGGCUAACUACGUGCCAGCCGCCGCGGUAA
rnacentral:rRNA from 1 species